CGGCCUCCGGCUGGGGCCACCCAGGCAACCGAUAUACACAGAGAACCACGUGGAGGAAAAGCACGCGAGUUUGGAGGGGGUGGAGCAGGAACAGAGGUGGACUGGAAUGUCACACGACGGGGCAGCUGGAAGGCCAAGUUCCCACCUGGUGGGAAGCACUGUGCAGGUUCGUGGGGAUGCAGCCCUGCACAGCCCAGACUGGACUCCUUCCCCAUGGAACUCACAACACACGGGAGAGGCAGAGAGAUCCAAGCGCACAGAAAAACACAAGAAGAUUCAGCCCUGUCAUCUUGUGCAAAAUCCCCAAUUCCAGUAAGACAGCUUAUGCCAACCAGUUUGAAGACCACCAGAGAAGAACAGAAUCAAUAUGAGAAUACAGUUUCUUCAUCUGCCUGUCUUAUGGCUUCAACCUGCACUCUUUGACCAAUCAACAAUCUCCACACUUUGGCACACUCCAAAACCCUUAAAGACACUAUCCCCAAACUCCUCAGAGAGUCGGAUUUGAGGUUUCCUCCUGUCUCCUUGUUUGGUGGCCCUACAAUUAAACCUCUU
rnacentral:lncRNA from 1 species